GUUUGGCUGAGAAUACGGCAUCUUCCGUCUCUCAUGAUGCCGGUCAAUUUCGUACUUUCUUCCAAGAAAGUACACCAAAAUGGAGGCACUGCCUUUCAAUUACUUUUUGCAUUAAAGACUUUAACUUGUUUAUUCCAACUGCUUUGGUUUCUUACAGUUUUAUGAAAAAGGCAGCUUCUUAAAAUGGAGUUGCCUCCUGAUCUGGCGCACGCCUUGUGACUUAGGAGGGCAUUUGUUUCCCACUGCCUGUCAACAUCUCAGCCCUCCAUGCUCCCAGCACAGGCAAAAAUGGGUUAACAAUCAUUAAACCACCCACUUCUUAUGGAAGGAACUGAGUUCCCACAGACUCUGCCGUGGUUCCUCACACCAAUAUGGAUGCAGGGGAAGACAGAAGUUCUGGAAGGCAAUCCACCCAGAUCUUCCCUUCAUAUGAGAAAAGAGCCACUCCUCAAGACCAAACAAUACAAGGGCAGCAAGAUCCAAACAACUUCUGGGGGCUAGGUGGAAAUUCUACCAUGUGUGACCUGGAGCUGGGGAAAGAAAUGAGGGCUGCCUGGCCUGCCGCUGCAUGAGGAGGGCUGCCAGCCUAAGGACUUCAAGUCCUCCUCCACAGACUUCCAGCCCUUGACCUGCUGGUAACAGGAAGAUAGUUCGUGAAACAGCUCAGCGCUGGUCUACAUCCACCAUGUACACUGGAUCUUUGGAAAGUUGUGAUUUUUAGAAUCUCUGAAGAUAAUCCAAUUACACUUUGUUCAGAUGAAAAAUGAUCACUGUUCUUUCAUGAUUAUUGGUCUUCAUGUAGUUGUUGUUAUUAUAAAUAACUGAAUCACUAUUGAAGAAAUCUG
rnacentral:lncRNA from 1 species